rnacentral:sRNA from 1 species
UUUUCUUUAUCCAGUUGACCGUUGAUGGGCAUAUACCACUUUUACAAUUAGAAAAAAAUCAAAAGCAUAAAAAGUAUGAUAAGCAGCCAGGCACGCUGGCUCACGCCUGUAAUCCGAGCACUUUGGGAGGCCAAGGCAGGCGGAUCACGAGGUCAGGAGAUCGAGACCAUCCUGGCUAACAUGGUGAAACCCCGUCUCUACUAAAAAUACAAAAAAUUAGCCAGGUGUGGUGGUAGGCGCCUGUAGUCCCAGCUACUUGGGAGGCCGAGGCAGGAGAAUGGCGUGAACCCAGGAGGCGGAGCUUGCAGUGAGCCGAGAUCGCGCCACUACAGUCCAGCCUGGGCGACAAAGUGAGACUGUUUCCAAAAAAACAAAAACAAAAAAAAACAAACUAUGAUAAGUCCUUUAACAUAAGAAAUUCCCAGGCAUUCCAGAGUAGCAUGAUUGACUGUAAAGGAAGCCUAUUGACUUUGGGUCUCCAGGAGCUGGGUUUGAAAGCAGGACGAGGUGGUGUAUGGCCUCCGUGCAACCUACAGAACCUCACGACGCUAUCCUGUGUGACUUGACUGCGCUGUCCCGUGGGACCUGAAGACACUACUCGUCCUUGUGCUUUUUCCAUACUCACAUCCAAGUGCCGUGUGAUUCCAGAUCUGUUGAGAGAUGCGUAUUCAGUGAUGCAAAUUCUAAAGUACAAGAGAAGCAGAAUUGAGAAGCAGAGGAGGCCGGGCACAGUGGCCCACACCUGUGAUAAAGUACAAGAGAAGCAGGAUAGAGAAGCGAGGAGGCCGGGAGAGCGGCCCACACCUGUAAUCCCAGAACUUUUGGAGGUGGAGGUGGGAUGAUCACUUGCAUCCAGCAGUUCGAGACCAGCCUGGGCAACAGAACAAGACCCCAUCUCUACAAAAAGUAAAAAUUAGCCGGGUGUGGUGGCGCGUGCCUGUGGUCCCAGCUACUCAAGAGGCUGAGGUGGGAGGAUCCCUUGAGCCUGGGAGUUCAAGGCUGCAGUGAGCCAUGAUUGCACCACAGCACUCCAGCCUGGGUGACAGAAUGAGACUCUGUCUGAAACUAAGAGGAGAAAAAAAGGAGAGAAGGUAUAGAAUAUAACUUCUUUUUGUUUUGUGAGACAGAUUCUCACUCUGUCGCCCAGGCUGGAGUGCAGUGGUGUGAUCUCGGCUCACUGCAACCUCCACCUCCCGGAUUCAAGUGAUUCUCCUGCCUCAGCCUCCUGAGUAACUGGAUUACAGGCACCGCCACCACACCCGGCUAAUUUUUGUAUUUUUAGUAGAGAUGGGGUUUCAUCAUGUUGGCCAGGCUGGUCUUGAACUCCUGACCUCAAGUGAUCCGCGCACCUCAGCCUCCCAAAGUGGUAGGAUUACAGGCGUGAGCCACCGCACCCGGCUGGAAUGAAAUAUAACUUAUUUUUAAAAUGUAUUAAGCUCCUACUGUGUGCUAAUCUUAUUCACUCAGGUCCGACCCCUCAGUCCUUUAACUACCUGGGGCUUCCUUUUCUUUUGUUUCUUUUCUUGUAGCAGUGGAGGAAAAUGAGGCUGGUUAAGUGAAGUGAGCUCUGAGACCUUGUGUGACUUUGUUUCCAUUGUAUCCAUUUGCAUUAAGUGAAGUGAGCUCUGGCGCAAACCACCCUCUGCCCCGUCCAUUGGGUCCAUUUGCAGAGGCCUUGGCAAGGGCUGGCGUGAUUCCUGUGCUGCUCACCCAGGCCUAACCCGCGGAGGGGCGGAAGCCUGCAGCCGGUGCCUGUCUCCUCCCUCAGGUCACUACUACGUGCCCCUCCUGAGAGCAGAAGACACUUCUUCUCCCGUCAUCGGGGAGCUGUGGUCCCCAGACCAGACGGCUGAGGCCUCUCACGUCAGCCGCUAUGGAGGCAGCCCCAGAGACCCGGUGCUGACCCUGAGAGCCUUCGCAGGGCCCCUGAGUCCCGCCAAGGCAGAAGAUUUUCGCAGACUCUGGAAAACUCCACCUCGAGAGAAAGCAGGCUUCCUUCACCACGUCAAGAAAUCGGACCCGGAAAGAGGCUUUGAGAGAGUGGGAAGGGAGCUAGCUCAUGAGCUUGGGUAUCCCUGGGUUGAAUACUGGGAAUUUCUGGGCUGUUUUGUUGAUCUGUCUUCCCAGGAAGGCCUGCAAAGACUAGAAGAAUAUCUUACACAGCAGGAAAUAGGCAAAAAAGCUCAACAAGAAACAGGAGAACAGAAAGCCUCUUGCCGAGAUAAAGCCACCAUGUCUGGCAGCAAUUCCAUUUCCGUGAGGGCGUUUCUAGAUGAAGAUGACAUGAGCUUGGAAGAAAUAAAAAAUCGGCAAAAUGCAGCUCGAAAUAACAGCCCGCCCACAGUUGGUGCUUUUGGACAUACGAGGUGCAGUGCCUUCCCCUUGGAGCAGGAGGCAGACCUCAUAGAAGCCGCCGAGCCGGGCAGUCCACACAACAGCAGAAAUGGGCUCUGCCAUCCUCUGAGUCACAGCAGGACCCUGGCAGGCAAGAGACCAAAGGCCCCCCGUGGGGAGGAAGCUCAUCUGCCACCUGUCUCUGAUUUGACUGUUGAGUUUGAUAAACUGAAUUUGCAAAAUGUAGGAAGUAGCGUUUCUAAGACACCAGAUGAAAAUACGAAAACUAAAGAUAAGAUCCUGACUUCAAGAAUCAAUGCAGUAGAAAGAGACUUGUUAGAGCCGCCUUCUCCCACAGACCAACUCGGGAAUGGCCACAGGAGGACAGAAAGUGAAAUGUCAGCCAGGAUUGCUAAAAUGUCCUUGAGUCCCAGCAGCCCCAGGCACGAGGAUCAG